AACGAACGCUGGCGGCGUGCCUAACACAUGCAGGUCGAACGAGAAGUACGUAGCAAUACGUAUUGUAAAGUGGCGCACGGGUGAGUAACACGUGGGUAAUCUGCCCUUGAGUUUGGGAUAACCCCGCGAAAGCGGGGCUAAUACCGAAUAAGACCACGGGGACCAAAGUCCCUGAGGUAAAAGACGGCAUCUAUUCAUAAGCUGUAACGUGAGGAUGAGACCGCGGCCCAUUAGCUAGGUGGUAGGGUAACGGCCUACCAAGGCGAUGAUGGGUAGCUGGUAUGAGAGGACGAUCAGCCACACUGGAACUGAGACACGGUCCAGACUCCUACGGGAGGCAGCAGUGGGGAAUAUUGCGCAAUGGGCGAAAGCCUGACGCAGCAACGCCGCGUGGGGGAUGAAGGUUCUCGGAUUGUAAACCCCUUUCGAUCGGAACGAAUCUCCUCCUGGUAAAUAAUCAGGAGGAUCGACGGUACCGGGAGAAGAAGCCACGGCUAACUCUGUGCCAGCCGCCGCCGUAAGAC
rnacentral:rRNA from 1 species